AAAAGACUUAGUCCUAACCUUACUGUUAGUUUUUGCUAGGUAUAUACAUGCAAGUAUCCGCGCGCCAGUGUAGACGCCCUGGACACCUUAAUCAGGUAGAUAGGAGCGGGUAUCAGGCUCACCAUAACCGUAGCCCAAGACGCCUCGCACUUGCCACGCCCCCACGGGUAUUCAGCAGUAGUUAAUAUUAAGCAAUGAGUGUAAACUUGACUUAGCCAUAGCAAAUUAGGGUUGGUAAAUCCUGUGCCAGCCACCGCGGUCAUACAGGAGACCCAAAUUAACAUUAUAACGGCGUAAAGAGUGGUCACAUGCUAUCCAAGUAACUAAGAUUAAAAAGCAACUGAGCUGUCACAAGCCCAAGAUGCCAAUAAGGCCUCCUUAUCAAAGAAGAUCUUAGAACAACGAUUAAUUGAACUCCACGAAAGCCAGGGCCCAAACUGGGAUUAGAUACCCCACUAUGCCUGGCCCUAAAUCUUGAUGCUUAC
rnacentral:rRNA from 1 species